rnacentral:rRNA from 1 species
AAUGAACGCUGGCGGCGCGCCUAACACAUGCAAGUCGAACGGGACCGGGGGCAACUUCGGUUCAGUGGCGGACGGGUGCGUAACACGUGAGGAACAUGACCCUUGGCGGGGGAGUAGCCGGCCCAACGGCCGGGUAAGUACCGCGUACGACCAUUUGGGGACAUCCCUGAAUGGUGAAAGCAGCAAUGCGCCGAUAGAGUGCCUCGCGGCCUAUCAGCUAGUUGGUGGGGUAACGGCUCACCAAGGCAACGACGGUAGCUGGUCUGAGAGAUGGCCAGCCACAUUGGGACUGAGACACGGCCCAGACUCC